GUCUGCUGUGGACACGGUUCGAUUGGGAAGUGCGCUUUCGCUCAGGUCCACUGCUCGACUUGGAAGUGCAAUGACGUCGAUGG
rnacentral:sRNA from 1 species